rnacentral:lncRNA from 1 species
CCUGAAGCUUCUUGAGAUGUGACCGGUGUACAUGAGUUUACCGGUGAAAAAAUGUGUGUGAUUGUUUUAUUAAAUCUCUUAAGAGUGAUUCACAUUGUGGAGCUUCAAUAUUUGUGACUUUUACCUAAUAAGAAUCACUUGUCUUUUGCCUAAGCAGAUAAACUCUGAUUUCUCACUAGUGAUUCACAUUGUGGAGCUUCAAUAUUUGUGACUUUUACCUAAUAAGAAUCACUUGUCUUUUGCCUAAGCAGAUAAACUCUGAUUUCUCACUAGUGAUUCACAUUGUGGAGCUUCAAUAUUUGUGACUUUUACCUAAUAAGAAUCACUUGUCUUUUGCCUAAGCAGAUAAACUCUGAUUUCUCACUAG